AUCCAGCUGACAAGUCCCAAAUAGGAUGAAACGCACGUUCUGGAU
rfam:Schistosoma mansoni strain Puerto Rico chromosome 1, complete genome